GAUGAACGCUAGCGGCAGGCCUAAUACAUGCAAGUCGAACGAGAUUUACCUUUCGGGGUAAUGAAGUGGCGCACGGGUGCGUAACACGUAUGCAAUCUGCCCCUGUCUGGGGAAUAGCCCAGGGAAACUUGGAUUAAUACCCCAUAACAUUGCGAAUAGGCAUCUAUUUGUAAUCAAAGAUCCGUCGGACAGGGAUGAGCAUGCGGAACAUUAGUUAGUUGGUGAGGUAAUGGCUCACCAAGACUACGAUGUUUAGGGGUUCUGAGAGGAUUAUCCCCCACACUGGUACUGAGACACGGACCAGACUCCUACGGGAGGCAGCAGUAGGGAAUAUUGGUCAAUGGACGCAAGUCUGAACCAGCCAUGCCGCGUGCAGGAUGACUGCCCUAUGGGUUGUAAACUGCUUUUAUAUAGGAAGAAACCUCCCGACGUGUCGGGAGCUGACGGUACUAUAAGAAUAAGGAUCGGCUAACUCCG
rnacentral:rRNA from 1 species